CAUUGUAAUGACUUUUCUAAUGUGGAUGCAACAAGCGAUCUUGCCUAGGUUUACCAUAUUGUGGGGAGGUCACGUGUUCAUGCUCUUUGUCUUUCCAUGUUUUGGAUUUGUAUUGAAGAACCAUGAGUCACGGCUAAUCAGGUUCCUUGUGUUAAGGGUGGAAUGGAUUAAGCAAGGUCGCUCAAAAGAGACUUCAGAGGGCUACUCGAGCUUCAAGCAUGUCUUCUCUUCCUCCUGGAGAGAUUCGACCCUUUGAAGUCGAGAGCAAAAUAGCACCAUAUUGGCUGAGGAGUGAGAAUGGUUUCUACUACAUGGUUAAAACUAGCAGUCAUAGAGGAGAUCAAAGUCAAGAUUCCCACUUUGUACCCUGCUCAAAUUCAGUUCCUUGACAGUCUUAUUUUCAUGGGAAAAAGUUACACGGAGAAGCUUGCAGCGGAGAACUAGCAUUAUAUCAAGGUGGUAUGUGGAAAAGAAGCAAGGUGGAUAAACAUCCAUAGUGCCAGUUUUAGGCCGAGAGCCGGUAGGUCGCAAGCAUUUGAAUUUGAUAAGAAAGUCUACUACUCAUUUUUCGCUGUAACAAAUGACUUGCAUGUACUUUUUAGCCACUUUCCACUCUUAUGUGAGUGUAUCAUAACUUGUAAUUGUAAAUUGUUACAGCUAAUAAAAUCAUGAAUAAAAUAUUUUUAUUGUAA